rnacentral:rRNA from 1 species
ACACUCCUGCGGGAGGCAGCAGUGGGGAAUAUUGGACAAUGGGCGCAAGCCUGAUCCAGCCAUGCCGCGUGAGUGAUGAAGGCCCUAGGGUUGUAAAGCUCUUUCACCGGUGAAGAUAAUGACGGUAACCGGAGAAGAAGCCCCGGCUAACUUCGUGCCAGCAGCCGCGGUAAUACGAAGGGGGCUAGCGUUGUUCGGAUUUACUGGGCGUAAAGCGCACGUAGGCGGACUAUUAAGUCAGGGGUGAAAUCCCGGGGCUCAACCCCGGAACUGCCUUUGAUACUGGUAGUCUUGAGAUCGAGAGAGGUGAGUGGAAUUCCGAGUGUAGAGGUGAAAUUCGUAGAUAUUCGGAGGAACACCAGUGGCGAAGGCGGCUCACUGGCUCGAUACUGACGCUGAGGUGCGAAAGCGUGGGGAGCAAACAGGAUUAGAAACCCGAGUAGUCCC